CGUACAUCUGCCAUUCCGUAUUGUAUUGUUGACCGCUAAGCAGUCGCUAGAGAACAGCCAAUUCUAGAGAGAGACCGUACAAAAGCCUAGCCGGAAAAUGAGGCAGUUCGAUCCAUGGCCAGUGUUUUUCCGCCGGGAGUGGGGCCGGAACUGGCCGUUCCUAGUCGGCUUCGCCAUCACCGGCGCCGUCAUCACCAAGAUGUCCCUCGGCCUCACUGAGGAGGACGCUAAGAACUCUAAAUUCGCGCAGAGGCACAAAAAGUAAUUUUAAAGCUCAAAGCUCAUGCUGGAUAAGAGGCAUUUGCACCUGAGACAGCUGCACUUUUCUUUUUAAUUUCUUGUGUUUUCUUUUGUUUCUAAAUGAAUCAGACAAUACUGAUUUCAUAAAGCAUCCCCAUAGCUUUUGGUGGAAGCAAACUUUACGUUGGUCUAUUGAGAAAUUUGGAUACUGUUAAUUAGAAGAGUGUUUUCUCCCCCUUCUGUUCUGUCAUGAGCUUCUGAUUUGGCUCACCAGAUUUCUUCUUUCAAACGGAAAUAUUUAAAAUACUGAUUCCUGUUUAA